rnacentral:tRNA from 1 species
GGGAUGUGGCGAAAUUGGUAGCACGCAUGAGUUUUAGGUACUCACGCCUUCGGGCGUGUCGGUUCGAGUCCGACCAUCCCCAC